rnacentral:rRNA from 1 species
AACGUAGGAUCCGAGCGUUAUCCGAAUUCACUGGGCGUAAAGCGCAUGCAGGCGGCCGCACAAGUUGGAUGUGAAAUCUCCCGGCUCAACUGGGAGGGGACGUUCAAAACUGUGCGGCUCGAGGGCGGUAGAGGAAGGUAGAAUUCCCGGUGUAGUGGUGAAAUGCGUAGAUAUCGGGAGGAAUACCCGUGGCGAAGGCGACCUUCUGGACCGUUUCUGACGCUCAGAUGCGAAAGCUAGGGGAGCGAAC